rnacentral:rRNA from 1 species
AUUGAACGCUGGCGGCAGGCCUAACACAUGCAAGUCGAACGGUAACAGGAAGAAGCUUGCUUCUUUGCUGACGAGUGGCGGACGGGUGAGUAAUGUCUGGGAAACUUCCUGAUGGAGCGGGAUAACUACUGGAAACGGUAGCUAAUACCGCAUAACGUCGCAAGACCAAAAAGGGGGACCUUCGGGCCUCUUGCCAUCGGAUGUGCCCAGAUGGGAUUAGCUAGUAGGUGGGGUAACGGCUCACCUAGGCGACGAUCCCUAGCUGGUCUGAGAGGAUGACCAGCCACACUGGAACUGAGACACGGUCCAGACUCCUACGGGAGGCAGCAGUGGGGAAUAUUGCACAAUGGGCGCAAGCCUGAUGCAGCCAUGCCGCGUGUAUGAAGAAGGCCUUCGGGUUGUAAAGUACUUUCAGCGGGGAGGAAGGGAGUAAAGUUAAUACCUUUGCUCAUUGACGUUACCCGCAGAAGAAGCACCGGCUAACUCCGUG